ACAACAACAUUCGGACGGUCGGCCUACCGAGCAGUAUCACCAGCUCGGUGGAGGAUCUUUCCCUUUGUCGUUAAGC
rnacentral:pre_miRNA from 1 species